rnacentral:rRNA from 1 species
AGAGUUUGAUCGUGGCUCAGGAUGAACGCUGGCGGCGUGCCUAAUACAUGCAAGUCGAGCGGGAUCCUCUGGAUUCGUCUAGAGGUGAGAGCGGCGGACGGGUGAGUAACACGUAGGUGACCUGCCCCGAAGACAGGGAUAACCACUGGAAACGGUGGCUAAUACCCGAUGUGCUCGGCGAUUCAUUUCGUCGAGUAAAGCUCCGGCGCUUCGGGAUGGACCUGCGGCCUAUCAGCUAGUUGGUAGGGUAAUGGCCUACCAAGGCGAAGACGGGUAGGGGGCGUGAGAGCGCGACCCCCCACACUGGCACUGAGAUACGGGCCAGACUCCUACGGGAGGCAGCAGUCGGGGAUAUUGCACAAUCGGCGCAAGCCGGAUGCAGCGACGCCGCGUGGGCGAUGAAGGCCUUCGGGUUGUAAAGCCCUUUUCUGGGGGAAGAGAAAAAGGACGGUACCUCAGGAACAAGUCCCGGCUAACUACGUGCCAGCAGCCGCGGUAAAACGUAGGGGACGAGCGUUAUCCGGAUUUACUGGGCGUAAAGUGCGUUGAGGCGGUUCCGUAAGUUGGGCGUGAAAGCCCCGGGCUCAACCCGGGGAGGUCGUUCAAUACUGCGGAACUUGAGGACAGCAGAGGGAGGUGGAAUUCCCGGUGUAGUGGUGAAAUGCGUAGAUAUCGGGAGGAACACCAGUGGCGAAGGCGGCCUCCUGGGCUGUUCCUGACGCUGAAGGCGAAAGCUAGGGGAGCAAACGGGAUUAGAAACCCCGGUAGUCCUAGCCGUAAACGAUGGAUGCUGGGUGUGGGGGGUAUAGACUCCCUCCGUGCCGAAGCUAACGCGUUAAGCAUCCCGCCUGAGGAGUACGGCCGCAAGGCUAAAACUCAAAGGAAUUGGCGGGGG